CCAAACACAUUGAUCUUAGAUCACCGGGGAUCAAAUCACCCCAACAUUCGGAUCACCGGAGAUCUUAGAUCACCGUGGUGAUCCUGUUGGGGUUACCAAACGCCCCCUUAGUGCAUGGAUUUCAUGGCCAACUUCAGCUUCCCUUCCAGGCUUCUUUAUUUGUCCCAGGCAGAUGCCAUUGGCUCCUUUUUUGUUCAAUUAUAAGGGGUUUGUCCACUGUCUUCUGUUUUCUUUUUUGGAGAAACCACCGUGUUUUAAUUUCUUUCACUGGAUUUUCCUCCACCUUGUACGACAAAAUGCCAACCCCCUUCUCCCAAUAAUAAACUCCCCAAAAAUCAGGUGUUUCCUAAAAUUUCACUCCUUAGUUUAGCCUUCUAAGAAGGAAAUUAGUUUUCCCUAUCUUAAUUAGUAUCAAAAAAAUGUGGUCCAUUCAUUUUUGCAUCCAAGAUAACUAAUUAAAUUAUUUGUUCAAAUCUUAAAAUUUGAAAC
rnacentral:lncRNA from 1 species